AUGAAUAUACUGGACCAGCUCCGAGAAUUCAUUGAGUUGGCUUCUACCAUUACCUCAACCUCCCUCGACCCUCUCACUCCGGACACCAUCUCUUGGAACUGGAACCCCAAGGGAGAAUAUUCCGCUGACUCGGCCUAUCGGGCGCAAUUCCUCGGCUCUUACUAGAGGUUCUCAAGCAAUAAAGUCUGGAAGGCGCAUGCGGAGCCGAAGUGCAAGCUUUUCUCCUGGCUGGUCCUCCACAACAGGAUCCUAACGAUUGAUCGACUCGCCAAGUGCUUGGUGGGCUCGGUAUCGCAGACCUGGAAUGCUUUGGGAGGGCCCUUAGACUUCGUUGGAUAUGGCUACAAAUAA
rnacentral:rRNA from 1 species